AGUGAAUUGAAUUAUUUUUAAUAUAGUACAUACAGUAAAUAUGUUAUCACCAUUUUGCCUAAAAAUUACUGUCUUCUGCAUUUGUUUAUUUUGCACUGAACUAUGGGCUCAGUUCUUCUUUUAAUUCACAGUGAGCAGUAUUUUCUUCCCAAGAAUUCCGUAUGUCAGAGGGAUUACACUAUGUGAAGAAAGAAGACAAAACGGCUUUUAGUUCAGAAAAAUAAAAAUGUCCCAGGGACAUUAUAUAAUGAGGAAUCCCAAACAGUGCCAAUAGGAACAAUACAUAUACGUUAGUGAAGAAUAGAUCCAUCACUGUGCCGACCACAGUGUGAUAUUUUCAGUAUUGGCAUUUCAGUGUGAAAAUAUUGAUGUUUAGUCUUCAGUCCACAAAUGAACCCAGGAAAUACACACCAACAGAACCAACAGUAUACACCAACGAACGGAGCUUUGUGAUGCUGAUAAUGUUCUGUUUUAUCACUGAAAAAAAAGGAAAUCCAAAAUUUGAGAAGUAUUAGUGAACAUACGCAUGUCUGAUUAAGUAAUUCUCUUUUCAAGGAAAUCACUUUUCUUAGCACAUGAAGAAAGAAAACAAACCUUCAAACAUAUUUUUCUGAAAUCUGUCUUUUUUUUGCAGCUUUGUUUUUGUUGUUGUUUUGUUUUUUGGCAACCUUGUUGAUGUGAAUGAGUUGGAUGAAAUAUGCAUUCUGUGAAGGAGAUCUGGGACCUAUGCAUUGAAGUGAGUGCUCAAAACACUAGCUUACAGAACUGCAUUCUUGCAUUUCCUGCAAUAAACAUAUUGUUAAUUAUUUUUUUCCAAAUCAAAUCAAAUUCAACAGGAAGACUGGUGCAUGCCUCUCAUUCCCAGCACAUACCACUAUCCACACCUAAGGAAAGCUUCCUUUGAGGGAACUCCUUUGAGGCUUUGACCCUCUCAGACUAGUAACAGCCAGAUGAGUGUUCUUUCUCACUGCUAAGCCAUGAUAUCAAAGAUCAGACUCAUUACUACUGUGGAUUCAAAAAGGAAAGCAGUUUUGUUCAACUGAUAAUUCAAAAAUAUCAUGUAAGUCACUUCAGGUUUGUGUUAAGAGCAUUUAAUUUGUACUAGCCACUCAUUUUGAUUACAAGAAAAUUUUAAACCUCAGGGUAAGUAUAUUUUCCAUUCUAAUUUAGAAGACUGAGUAGGACUGCAAAUAAAAGUAAGGGCAACGUUCCUGGUCAACCUUGUUAUGUUUGCUUUGGUACUAAUAGUUAAUGAUCAAGGAAAGGAAAAAUAGAAGAGUAACAGUUCAUGAAAAAAAUCAGUGUUCACUAAUGAUUGAUUAUCAACUAGUUACUGGAAGAUCACUGUUAAAAAGUUUUUCAUAAGUAUUCAUAACCAUUUGAGAUUAGCAAAUAUUUUUAAUUUUUAAAAUAUUGCUUUGUUUUCCUUUACAGAGUGAACAUGUAUGCUGCUUUUAAUCUAUUUUACUGAAGAUAUAUAUAUAAAUAAUAGAGAGAUUUAGGUGUGCAUUAAGAAACAAAAACUCUAUUUGACA
rnacentral:lncRNA from 1 species